AGUCGAGGGGUAUAGCACUUCGGUGCUAGAGACCGGCGCACGGGUGCGUAACGCGUAUGCAAUCUACCUUUUACAGGGGGAUAGCCCAGAGAAAUUUGGAUUAAUACCCCAUAGCAUAUAUGAAUGGCAUCAUUUAUAUAUUAAAGUCACAACGGUAAAAGAUGAGCAUGCGUCCCAUUAGCUAGAUGGUAAGGUAACGGCUUACCAUGGCAACGAUGGGUAGGGGUCCUGAGAGGGAGAUCCCCCACACUGGUACUGAGACACGGACCAGACUCCUACGGGAGGCAGCAGUGAGGAAUAUUGGACAAUGGGCGCAAGCCUGAUCCAGCCAUGCCGCGUGCAGGAUGACGGUCCUAUGGAUUGUAAACUGCUUUUAUACGAGAAGAAACACUCCUUCGUGAAGGAAUUUGACGGUAUCGUAAGAAUAAGGAUCGGCUAACUCCGUGCCAGCAGCCGCGGUAAUACGGAGGAUCCAAGCGUUAUCCGGAAUCAUUGGGUUUAAAGGGUCCGUAGGCGGUCUAGUAAGUCAGUGGUGAAAGCCCAUCGCUCAACGGUGGAGCGGCCAUUGAUACUGCUGGACUUGAAUUAUUAGGAAGUAACUAGAAUAUGUAGUGUAGCGGUGAAAUGCUUAGAGAUUACAUGGAAUACCAAUUGCGAAGGCAGGUUACUACUAAUGGAUUGACGCUGAUGGACGAAAGCGUGGGUAGCGAACAGGAUUAGAUACCCUGGUAGUCCACGCCGUANACGAUGGAUACUAGCUGUUGGGAGCAAUCUCAGUGGCUAAGCGAAAGUGAUAAGUAUCCCACCUGGGGAGUAC
rnacentral:rRNA from 1 species